CAACCUUAAACGUGGUAGGUAAAAUUGUAGCAUGCUACCAAUACGUUUUAGUAAUGUUUUUCGAAUCCGGAAUUUUAAAGUCUUAAAUAUCACCACGUAGAUGAUUAUUUGUCAUCCUGCAUCGUCAGCAAAAGUGCAGUAAAAACAAUGGAUUUAAAGGGGAAACCUGUGCCCUCCAAAAUCCUGGAUAGUCACAUUGCAUUCAAUCAUUGUCUUCUAAACGCAUCACAUUCUUCAUGUCUCAUUUAAUGCAACAGAUUAGUAAUAGAAGAAAGCAUGCAUUGGAUUACAACAAAUAUCAGAUGUAUAAAUUACAUUGCCGCGAUCGUCUUUAUUUCCUCGUGGUACAAACAACUAGCAGCAGCUGCAAUAACCAUCAAAUGUAAUACGAUUACUCCAUUUUUAGAUGUAAUAUGUUUCUAUCUUAGCUUCGUCGUUUCAUACAAUUAUAGCAGU